rnacentral:rRNA from 1 species
AUUGAACGCUGGCGGCAGGCCUAACACAUGCAAGUCGAGCGAGCGGCGGACGGGUGAGUAAUAUAUCGGAACGUGCCAAGUAGCGGGGGAUAACUACUCGAACGAGUGGCUAAUACCACAUACUAUUGGAGCGGCCGAUUACGGCUUAGCUAGUUGGUGGGGUAAAGGCUCACAAAUGCAACGAUCCGUAGCUGGUUUGAGAGGACGACCAGCAACAGUGGGAGUGAGACACGGCCCAGACUCCUACGGGAGGCAGCAGUGGGGAAGUUUGGACAAUGGGGGAAACCCUGGUCCAGCCAUCCCGCGGGUAUGAGAAGGCCUUCGGGUUGUAAAGUACUUUUGGCAGAGAAGCGGUAUCUGCAGAAUAAGCACCGGCUAACUACGUGCCAGCAGCCGCGGUAAUUC